CGGCUAUCUUGUCAACCACCAAUGGUAGAUAAUACUCUAUACAGGCGGCCCAAUGCACGCCCACGACGAUGAUGAUGCCUAUCUUCGCUAUUUUGUACAGGUGAAAAUUAAUUCGGUAUACCUGGAAUUUUAAUUAUCUGUCAAAUUCAACGAGGUCAGGUACCACAUCGAGUCGGUAAGCACGACGAUAAAUUCCAACGGUAGUACGGAUAACGCGUCCACGAUGAAGAAACCUCGUAGAUACUUGCUACGAUGAUAGCGUCACGUAAUGUUGAAAAAAAAAAUAGAAAAUCCCUCAUUUUUCCAAAUAUUUAAAUUCAUAUUUUUUUCAAAGUGUCUACUCAGUAUAACAUUCCUGGAGAAUUCUCUAAUAUUCCAGAUAUUUUUGUUCAAAGGUUCCAGGUUCAAGACUAGUACGCCAUUUUCGUGUACCUCGCUACAACCCUCGGAUCCAGAAUCACCAGUUGCGUACGAGAAUCGUAGUGACCGGUGAAAAACCUGAUUAUUAUGUCGCACAUGAGCAUGGCGUCGAUCGCGUGAUUGUACAUAUACCAUUUCGCGCAUUCGUCAAAAUAAAAUGUGAGGAAAACCGGUGUGAUGAGCAGAACAACUAUGAUGAACAGCGUCAUGAUAGACUCCCAAAAUAUUCUACAAACGAGUUUGUGACUGACCUGAAGGAACUGAAGGGAUGGAUCAUGUAAGGAUGGGACUUGAGAUGAUGACUGAUCUCGUAAUCAAUCGCCCGAGUACUCUUCAGGCACCAUCGCGUGAACGGGUGCAGUGGCGACGUUAUCCGUGUUCCGAGAAACCAACGACGUAUCCUGGACCAAGCGGAGCUCCCGGAUAUCGUUCUCGUCAAUGGAUCUUCCUUCGGGGAUAUCUCGCAAACAUGUUCCACGCGGGGCUCAUGCUGUAGAUAUUAUCGCUCGCUUUGUUAUUAUCUUUAUUCUAAACAGUCUACAUAUUAUUAUAAAAAUAAUAAUAUGUGUGUAUUCCAAUUUAGAACGCUUUAAAGCUUACUGAGAGAUAUUACUGCCUUUGUUUAAAUUCGUCGUUUCAUACAGUUGCAAACUAUUGCAAUAUUGGGAGGAAUUAUUUUGUACUAUAUUAAAUUAUUCACCCCAAUUCAUACAAAAAUAUAAACAAUUUUAUUGUAAUUAUUAUAAUUUUAUUAUUAUAUAAUGGAUUUUUAAAUAACACAAUGUCUAACAUGUUCUAAAAAUAUAUUUUAAAAAUUUACACGCUUUUUCAAAUAUUUUAUAUGUAUCGUAAAAUAAAAAUACACAUACACACUUUUCUAUAUUUAAUGAACUUUCUACCAAAUUAUGUGCCCAUACAAUUAAAUAUUAUUAAAUAAGUAUAAAAACAGGAAGUAAUUUUGUCUUCUUGAUAUAUCCUAAGUGAUGGUUACAUACCUGGACAGUUGGUGCUGUCAUAGAAUAGGGCACAAAAGCCAUUAAAUCCAUUAUUUGUUUGAGAAUGUAAUCUUGAAAAUAAAUCUUCUAGUCUUCUCCC